UCAAAGUUCAUAAAAAUAAAAUAAAAGAGGACAAAAUUAAACAAUUAAUUUUAAAAAAAAAGAUAAAGGAAGAGGAAGAAGCUCUUGCACUAUUGCAGUUUAUAUAUAUUUUUAUAUAUCCAUCGUCGCGUGGGAAGGGCAAGGAGAAAAGGGAGAGGCAAGCCAUCGUCGAUUCCUGCGGCUUCUUCGCCGUGGCGCCGAGGAACAUAGGAAAAAGGUGAAUCCAUAGGAUAAGGGCAGCGGGAAGCGGCGAUUUUGGCUUGGGGUACUCUUCCGAGGGACGGACAUCCGUCAGGGUCGUCAAGGAGCUCGAGAUGGAGAAGGGCGCUGAUCCUUUCCAAGGCAGCACCGCCUUGGCCGCCGUUGUCAUCACCCCUGUCUGGCUUGUACGAACAGGUUACGUUAUUUUUUCUUGAACAUGUAUGUUAGGGUUUGUGCAGAGUUUUUCUAUUCCAAAUUCUGAGAACAUUUAGGUUAUUGCUUGGAUGGAAUUUCCGCUUGCCUUUUCAUAUCAAUUUUAGUUCUCAACUAGGGAACUUUGCGCACAUAUAUAAAAGAAUUAGAUCGCAUACGUGAAUGACUCUCUGCUGAGACAAAAUUAUGCAGCACUUCGUUCCAAUCCAGUUCUAUUUGCCCUGACCUAGUGCACCUUGAGAAGUGGGGUUCCUUGCUGAGUCAUUUCUGCUUCCGUUUAGAUUGUGAUAAACAUAUAUGCUGUGGGGCUUCAGAAUAAUAUCCACAAAUGCAGUCGCAGCUUUCACCUGUACAGAGGGAUGACACAGGAAAGGGAGGUUUAAGAUAUGUGGAAUUGUGACAGAAAUUGUGAUAUAAGAUACCAGAGAGGCCAAAACCCUCUAUGUAAGUUUGGCUUAAAAUGGUUGUUCAAGAAAGAGAAAGUUAUGAUGAAAAUGCUGCUUUAGAAAAGGAAAAUAUAAAUAAAAAUAUCAUCAUUUAGAAAUUGUAAGAUAUAAGAUACCAGAGAGGCCAAAACCCUCUAUGUAAGUUAGGCCUAAAAUGGUUGCUCAACAAAGAGAAAGCUAUGAUUAAAAUGUUUCUUUAGAAAAGGAAAAUAUAAAUAAAAGUAUCAUCAUUUAGGUUUUGGAAUAGAAAAAUUAUGAAUUGGUAUUAAAAAUUUACAGCUUACUAUGUUGAAAUUUUAUUAUUUAGCAAUUUAGUUUUUCUAAGACCUUAGUUCAGAUGAUUCUUUGAGAGUUCAUAGAAUGAUAGAAGACUAGUGCUUGAUAGAUCUGAAAUAACAUUUGAGCAGAUACUGAGAUAGUGACUGAAUAUUGACAUUCAAUAUACUAAAAGCUUCAUAUUCGGUAACACGAUCUGAAGCCUGCUUUUGAAUUGGUCUCUUCAAAGUUCCUGACUCUGAACCUUUUUUAUGGUGCUGCAGAUACCUUUUGUUAUGAUUGCUUUAAUUGGACAGAGAAUUCCUAUGUCCAUGUCUAUGUGAAGAGAAUUCCAUAUCUUAUUUCUACGAGUCAAGGAUUAACCACUAUAAACAUUGAAAAUCACACGAAAGAAUUUCAGGUCAUGGGUUAUAGCCUGCUUUGGUUGAAGAUUGGAUGGUAAUAUAUAACCAGAAGAUAUUAGUGACACAUAUGAGUGCACCACAGUAGAAAUUAAGACAUGCAUGGAGGAACAUUAUUUCUAUAUGAGAAGAUAUUAGUGACGCAUAGACUGCAACAUAACUAGAAAUUAAGACAUGCAUGGAUGAACAUUGUUGCUCUGUGAGAGCAGGACAAACAGGUGGAUUAUUUUUUUUUCUUGGUCUACUUAGCUAAUUAAUUAGAUGGUUAAGACUGGAAAUGAAUUUACUGUUUGUUUGUUCUUGUUCUCAAAGUUAUGCAGUGAAGAUAAUUAAUUCUUACUCAUGAUUGCCUGCCACAGUUCUUGGCCUAUAAACCAUGUACCAUGAAAGAUUUUAAAGGCCAUAUAAUUUGCUCACAGUUGAAAGAUAGGUCCUAAUUUUUGUUUUAAAAGAAUGGCUAUACUGCAUCUUAUGAUAAUUGAGAAUGCUAGCUGUCAACGGUGGGAGUUUGUCAAUUAGAUGUAAAAUCAGCUUGUAUUCAAGAUUCGUUGGUGUUUCCUGGCAUGCCAUUAAUAUGUUUAGAGGCUGUGGCAGACCUAACAUACAAUAUAUGCACUUGAAUUUGGGUGGUAACAAUGAAUGUAUUGAACCCUCACUCGAAAAAGAUAUUUUUCAUAUUUAAUGAUCACAAGUGUAUAUUUAUCAGUGCAGUCCUUUUUCCAGAAUGAAGCAGGUUUAUUAAGUUUGCUGGUGGCAGACAGAUCUUACAUAUAUGACUUCUAAAGGCUCCCGGUAGUGACUGAACUUUUCUAUAUGCAAAUUAUUAUGCUAUAGGGAAAUCCAGCAGCAUGGCAAAUUUCUACAUUUCAAGAAAAUUUCAAAAACUUCAUUUCCAUCAGACUAGCCGCUAGAGCAUAGUUUAUCGGUCUGGUUUCAAGUGACUCACGGUCUUUUUCUCAUCAUGUUCCAGAAUUGGCUGUGGGCAAGAUGUAUCCUUAUGAGGAUGGGAUGUAUCCUCCCAAAUAUUUGCAUCAUCCAUCAAAGAUUGGAGUGUUAAAUGUUACUGCUGGUUUGGAUUUUCAUGCAGAGUUAAACGAUCCAGCUUACGUUUUGAUAUAGGAUAAGUUUUGCUGCUUUAAGUGUAAAGAAUUCAUCCAGUUGUCCCAAGAAAUAUUGAGCAUAUUAUGGAAUACUUCAGGAACUGGUUUGCCAAAGAUUGGAGUGUUAAAUGUUACUGCUGGUUUGGAUUUUCAUGCAGAGUUAAACGAUCCAGCUUACGUUUUGAUAUAGGAUAAGCUUUGCUGCUUUUAAGUGUAAAGAAUUCAUCCAGUUGUCCCAAGAAAUAUUGAGCAUAUUAUGGAAUGCUUCAGGAAAUGGUUUGCCAAAAGAUAAAUUUCUUCUGAGGAUGGUGAGGUUGGGUAGGGAUUCAGAUAGUGUUUCUAUUGAUCAAGAUAGCCCUGAUGAUAUUGUGGGAUGAUAGUAGCAUUUAUGUAUCUAAGACUUGGUGAAGCAGAAUAUGAUAUGAAAGUUCCUUGUGGUUUCUAACUUUCUAUGAUAAGGCCAGGAGUGUGCACUUUUCAUGUCCUCUACAUUCAAAUGAAUGUCAUCUGAAGAACUGAUUUCUGUAAUUUACCAUUGUCAAUGUUCCUUGUGGUUAUUUUUAGAUGGUCAAGUGUGUGCAUUUAUCACGUCUUCUAGAUCCAAAUGAACAUCAACUAGAGAACUGUUUUCUGUGAUUUACUGUUGGUUAGUUUACAUGUUUUCUACUGAAUAAUAUGUGGGAAAUCAGUUUAUAUAUUUAUUGGGAAGUACAAACUUAAACCUGUGGAUCAGAUUUUGUGGAUUCAAACUGGAUGCACAUGGCCGAACAAAUUAGUUUUCAGGAUUUUCUACAUGUAUCAUCACUGAAAUUGUAUCCAGAGAAUUACUGCCAUCGAGCACCAUGUUCAAGUGAAUCUUGUCAUUGGAUGCUUGCUGAAGCAUCACCAGCAGCAGCUACUAAAUCUAUAAGUUGAGUAUCAAUUAACUGGCCAAAAGCAGUGUUUUGAACUGAGGUGCUUUUUUCUGUUCAUCUUACACCACAUGCCAUCAUAAUCUAUUUGGCAGGAGAGCAUCAUACAGUUUGGUGUGGAAAGUUAAGGACUAACAAACUAUUCAAAUGGAUAUCCAGUGGUCACUUGAUCUUUUCUUAUCAAUUGCUGCAGGACCAUUGUUAGUAAUUGCUGAUGGGUGGUUCCAGUGAUUUGGAUUCACAACCAUCACUGUGAAACAAAUAGCAGUUGUAAUGUGCAAGCGCAUUUGUUUGGCAGCCUCUAUGCCAUGGCUAGUAGUUGUGCUCAUAGGACCAUGAUUUGUCUUAAUUAUGACAUCGUAGGUAGCUUCAAAGUAGAGGUGGAUCUUGUCUGUUGAAUCUCAGAUGUGCAGUUUGGAGCUUUUUAAUUUGGUGGAACCAUUUGCUGUGCAGAUAGCUGCUAACAGAUUGAAAAAUGUUAAAAGGAUUAUGUUGGUGAUAGAUGAUCUGACAGAGUAAUUGGUAUGUGCAAAAGCUUCUUAAAAGGAAAUCCUGCACCAUGAGACAUUCAAAUUAUAGUGGUUCCUAUAAGACAAAUGGUGCUCCCUUCAUCCAACUGGGAGGAACUGGAAAUCAGAUUAUCCUGCAACACUGGGCAUUUUUUUAUGUUUUGGACAAGUUCUUGGGAACAUCAGUCUGUGUGGAUAAUUAUCAAGAGCCUUUCCUGAUACUUUGGGACUUCCCCACAGAUAUCAUCACCACCAACACAUGCUAUAUACACCAGAAACAAAGUAUGCCAGAUGUACACAUUUUUCAUGCAUACAAUUUUACAGUAUAUCUCACAUAAUUUUGCAGGUACCAUGCAAUAACUUCAACUGAACUUUCAUACGUAUUAGCUUGUGGUGGAUGCUAUUCAUAAAACUGAAUCAUUAUGUGCA